GCUGGGCAUGGUGGUUCAUGCCUGUAAUCCCAGCUGCUUGGGGGGCUGAGGCAGGAGGAUUGCAAGUUCAACACAAGCCUCAGCAAAAGUGAGGUGCUAAGCAACUCAGUGAGACCCUGUCUGUA
rnacentral:sRNA from 1 species